AGGUGAACCUGCGGAAGGAUCAU
rnacentral:rRNA from 3 species